AACUGCUGUAACUCCAACACCACUUUUAUCCCCACGCACCGGGCCUGAUGUGGCUAUGCAGAACUCCUAACAACUGGCUCACUGACCAACGGACCCCCUUAAGCCCAUUACACAUUCCCACCUUGAUAAUUCCCUCCAUGGGGGAGACUGCACUCUAGACACCUGGACCCCCCAGGGCCUUAUCAUUCUAAACCUCACCCAGAGCCCACUCCCACACUGACAGAAGAGGGCCUUCGGACUGGUGAUAGCAGGAGCAAUUGCUACUGCUGCAGCUGCCGCCCCUUGGGGAGGUUUGGCCUGACAUGAACACACUCUAAGGGAGCUCACUAAGUCCAUAGAAGACACUUCCCAAGAAACAGCAGAUGCCUGGCAGAACUCUCCAGGUAGUUAGUUAGAUUCACUAGCCAAUGUUGUUUUCAACAAAUGCCUUGCUCUAGACUACCUCUUGGCAGACCAAAGGGGUUUUGUGUGGUCAUUAAUAAGACCUGCUGUACCUAUAUUAAUAAUUCAGGACAAGUUGAAACCAGUAUCAAAAAGGUUUAUGAACGGGCUGAAUGGCUGCACAAAUACAACAGUCAAGGGGCGACUAGUUCCUUGACCUCCUGGCUCCCGAGCCCCUCUUGGUUACUCCCACUCAUAGGCCCCUUCAUCACCUUGGUGCUCCUCUUACUUUUUGGCCGCUUCUUGUUCCACCUGCUCAUUAACUUUAUACAAAAAACCAUAGCUGAAGUUACCGGCAGGCCAAUAGCUCUCACCAUGCUCUUACAAGAGCACUGCUAUAGCCCCCUCACCCAAAACUCUAAUUAGGGAUCCCGAUCAAUGCCCCCACUAGGCAGGAAGCAGCCACAGAAGACUGACCACCACCCGUUUUCCCUCCGGAGGGUGAAUUUGUUAGGCCAGGAGCAGAAACUGCCGUAGGCCUAGAGAAACUGUUGGGAGUGUGCUGAAUAGAAACCAUCUUAUCUCAGAAGCCAUCUUGUCUUGCUCCCUGCCUGCUUGUACCUGCUGGCUUGCAUGUUUCUCACAGGAGCCCAUGAUCGACAGACCUGAACAUUCCUGGACGAUGGCAUGGGAGGCAGGAUAUGGAACAAGAGGACAUGGCCAAACCCCCAAACCCUCAGUUAUGAUAAACAAUGCAACGAAAAGCUCCUGAAGCACUGAAAAGGAACACCUUUGUUUUCCUCCUCCUAUAAAACUCUAUACCCCUCUUACUCAGGGAGGUUAUGGUCUUUUCUAACCUGACCUCCCGCAUCUCAAACACGCCAAAUAAAUUCUAACAGACCAAUUUUGGUCUUCCGUGACUCAUUCCUCUGACCGUACUUAAUACCAAGGAGCCCCCAGUUCUGGCCGUUGACUGGCAGGGGCCUUUCUUUCCCCUUCCCUCAACGUUACCAAUCUACAAGGUCCUCCUCAUAUUUCUCCAUUUCUAAGCUUUGCCUGACCUCUCCACCCAAAGAAGGCUUCUUUGCAGUAUGUCUGUACCACUGUACCCUUUCCUUUUUUCUCGUCUUGUAUCCUGGUGCACCCCAGUAAUGUGGUCUCUUCAUGGUUGUGUUAUGACUCCUCAACCAGUUUAUAUACCACUUACACCUCCAUGUAUCCCCCAUUCCCCAAAGAACUUAGCACCAUGCUUUACACGGACAGCUGUCAUCGACAGCCCAGUGACAGCCCUGAGGGUGGAAAGACCGGGGCAGGCCCCAAGGCAAGAGGUGAGAGAGGUAAGUGGCAAGCUGAGGGAAAAGGAGGCCCAGCAGGAUCAGGAGUCUGGAAAAAGGCAAAGAUAGAGCAGCUGAGGGAGUGAGAAUUUUGGGUCACUUCUUCUGAGUGCAGGCCAGGAAGGCGAGAGAGCGUAAGGGCUGUAGGGUUGGGAGGGUUGGGACCAGAGCUGGGGCUGGGAUGAGUGCAGAAGCAGGACCCAGUGUCCCUACUCACUCACCAACAUGACCAGGGAAACUUAUCUGUACGCCUUCAGCUUAUCCUGUUUCCUGGGGAGGCAGGACCUCACACGCCUGGACGUGUUAGUGAUGGAAAGGAGUAGGGUGAGGGAGGGACCCUAGGAAAGGCCCCACCUUUCCCUCCACAUUCUCGCCUCACCCUCUGCAAACCUAAAAGGCAUAAGACAGGAAGGAGUAGGCACCUCACCUCGCCCACUGCUGCUUUAUCUUUCAGCUUCGCCAGGACCCUCAUGGGAGCCCUCACCCUGCUAACUCCCAGCUGGCCCCCUGUAGGCACAGAGGAUGUGGGACUGCUACCGUCCCCCGGGAAAUGAGACGCUGCUGAGCUGGAAUGCCUCGCGGGCCACAGGCACGGUCUUCCUGCUGCUGGCGGCGCUGCUGGGACUGCCCGGCAAUGGCUUCGUAAUAUGGAGCUUGGCGGGCUGGCGGCCUGCACGGGGGCGACCGCUGGCGGCCACACUCGUGCUGCAUCUGGCGCUGGCCGACGGCGCGGUGCUGCUGCUCACACCGCUUUUCGUGGCCUUCCUGGUGGGCAAGGAGUGGCCGCUGGGCCAGGUGGGCUGCAAGGCCGUGUACUACAUAUGCGCGCUCAGCAUGUACGCCAGCGUUCUGCUCACCAGCCUGCUCAGCCUGCAGCGCUGCCUGGCUGUCACCCGCCCCUUCCUGGCGCCUCGGCUGCGUAGCCCGGCCCUGGUCCACCGCCUGCUGCUCGCCGUCUGGAUGGCCGCUCUGUUGCUCGCCCUCCCGGCCGCUGUUUACCGCCACGUCUGGAGGGACAACGUGUGCCAGUUGUGCCACCCGUCGCCGGCCCAGGCCGCCGCCCACCUGAGCCUGGAGACUCUGACCGCCUUCGUGCUGCCCUUCGGGCUGGUGCUCGGCUGCUACAGCGUGACGCUGGCACGGCUGCGGGGCGCCCGCUGGGGCUCCGGGAGACACGGCACGCGGGUGGGCCGGCUGGUGAGCGCCAUCGUGCUCGCCUUCGGCUUGCUCUGGGCCCCGUACCACGCGGUCAACAUUGUGCAGGCGGUAGCCGCGCUGGCUCCACCGGAAGGGACCCUGGCGAGGUGGGGCGGCGCCGGCCAGGCGGCUCGAGCUGGAACUACAGCGUUGGCCUUCUUCAGCUCCAGCGUCAACCCGGUGCUCUAUCUCUUCACCGCAGGGGAUCUGCUGCCCCGCGCAGGUCCCCGUUUCCUCACACGGCUCUUUGAGGGCUCGGGAGAAGCCCGAGGGUCCGGCUGCUCUAGGGAGGGGACUAUGGAGCUCCGAGCUAUCCAUCGGCUCAAAGUGGUGGGGCAGGGCCCAUACAAUGGAGACCCUGGGGGCGGGGCGUCGAAGGACAGUCAGGGAUGGGACCCUUGACACUAAACCCUACAACCAGGCCUGCUCUUCUCUAUCCCCUUCCAUCACCCCCUAGAACUCAGGGAAGCACUCUGAAGAAUUUGGGAAUCCUUUUCUGACCACAGUUUACAUCUGUCUGGGCAGAAUUAUUAUACACCUGGGGCAGGCUCAGGUUCCUCCAAACUGAGGGAUUUCAAAGGGUGAUGGUCUAUGUUAACGAAUACUGUGCACUUGCAGGCUGGCAUGUGCCCAUGUGCCAGAGCUGCAUACUUGUUCCCAAUAGCUAUUGUGAAAGACAUUAGGCCGCUAUUACACCAUGGCUUAAGGGUGCUCCCCCUGGUGGUUCAGUAUGCAUGACUUGUACUGAAGCCACAUGGUUUCCUUGCUGGGUCAGGCCAACGCUGGGCAGAGCCAGCCUUCAGUGGCAUCUUGACCUGUCCUCCCCACUCCAUGGGGCCUGGUUCCCUCAGGCCAACCCAUAUAACCACUCUGGAAAAAAAGGGAGAAAGAAGGAAAGGUAUGGGCUCUUGGAUGUGGAGUGGGGAUGGAAUCUAUUCUCUGGGGUCUAUAAGAGCCAAGUGGGGGGAACACUGGCCCUGGAAGGUGAAAGUCAAUCUGUGGAGUUUGAAAGGAAAAUUUUUCUGACUGUUUUGUGGUUGGCACGGUGGAGGAAUGGCCCCGGGAGACUGAGAUUUAUCUUUCUCUCUGAAUACAACAAAAAGGGACCUGCAAAAAGGGGCCCAGGAGCAGGUACUCAUUCCCCCAGGGGACACUUGAGGGUUGGAGAUAGGGGAUAUGAGCAGUGGUGUGGAUAUUUGGAGGACAGGAAGAAUUUUCCAUGUUGGUGACACCUUUCCUUUCUCCUUUUUCUCUCUUCCAAGUCUUGGCUCCUCCCAAGACUGCUAGCUGUUCCUCACCCACCCUCUCCAAUACUUCCCUGUUUCCGUUUUUUUGAAUCUUUCUAUUUCUAGGCCUCAAAACUGUUUUGGAUCCUGACACUUUUGCGUUUGGGGAUGUAGGAUGGAAUUCUUUUUAAGGGAUGUCCACAUGCACAUACAUAUGAAGGUCGGGUGGUUAAGUUCGUGUGGUCACUAGGGUGACCAACUCAUCCUAGUUUGCCCAGGACAUUCCCAGUUUUCACACGAGAAGUCUCUUGUCCCAGUCCCUUCAGCCCCUGGCAAACUUAGGUCCUUAGUGACCUGAGUUCUGGUCAUGCUGACCAUUACACCAGGUCUGCUUUAGUGACUGUUCACACCACCCAGGCAGAGCCCAAGAGAGAGAGCAAAAGAAAUUUAGUCCUCAGGGUCACACCAGGGCCACCAAAACUGGGGUUAGAGGUGGAACUCUGGACUUGGGAGGCAGGUAUGCUUAGAGUAUGGUGUGAAAGAAGAAAGGCCAUGGACAGAGAUGGAGGUGGGGAGAAGCUUGGGGAAAGAGGCAAAGACAACCUAGUUUGUGUCAGAAGGGGCCUCGAAUUGCCCCUGGAGCUCUGAGCCAGAAGCUUUGAUACUGAAACACCGAUUGCAGAGGCUUCUUCCUGUCCUCAUGCACUUAGGGAGGAGGGUCCCUAACUUCCCUGUCUCAUACACCCUCUGUGGUCAGAAAGCCCUUCCUCAACCCGGCCCUCAGUUCUUGCUGUGGUUUCAGCCCAUUUCUUUUCAUCAUAUCCUCUGCCUGACAGCUACUGGGUCAACUCUGCUCUUCAGAGAAAGUGGGGACGCUGCAAAGGGUAAGGGACAUCCAUGACCACCAUUACACUCGGCAUCUUUCCUGAGAGUGACAGAGUGGGAAGGGACGCAGGAAGGCUCAUGGUUAGAUUGAAGGAAAGACUUUUCAGUCCUUAGCUUCUACAUGAGAGUUCAAGAGAGGAGAAAGAAGAGUGACACUUUUGGGUGCUGUUUCCCUUUCCACAGUCCUGGUUUCCCCUCUUGGCAGGGCAACUGACAGCACCCAGACCUGGGGCCAGACCCCGGGCACUGGGACGGAUCUGGAGAUAGGCUACACCACCCUGCUCUGACCCUGGGAUUGGCACCAGCUUCCAACCAGUAACCGGCAAAG